rnacentral:rRNA from 1 species
UGGGGAAUUUUGGACAAUGGGGGCAACCCUGAUCCAGCCAUGCCGCGUGUCUGAAGAAGGCCUUCGGGUUGUAAAGGACUUUUGUCAGGGAGCAAAACCCAGCAGCUAAUAUCUGUUGGGGAUGAGAGUACCUGAAGAAUAAGCACCGGCUAACUACGUG